rnacentral:rRNA from 1 species
GCGGCACAGAGGGAAGCCAGGUGGCGACACCGCGCGGAACCCGAAAGCCGUUCUCAGUUCGGAUCGGAGUCUGCAACCCGACUCCGUGAAGCUGGAUUCGCUAGUAAUCGCGCAUCAGCCAUGGCGCGGUGAAUACGUUCCCGGGCCUUGUACACACCGCCCGUCAAGCCAUGGGAGCCGGGGGUGCUUGAAGUGCGUCGCCGCAAGGCGCGCCCUAGAGCAAAACCGGUGACUGGGGCUAAGUCGUAACAAGGUAGC